rnacentral:rRNA from 1 species
GAGUUGAUCGUGCUCGAGGACACGCUGGCGGCACGCCUAACACAUGCAAGUCGAACGGAGUGAAGAUGCUUGCAUCUGAACUUAGUGGCGGACGGGUGAGUAACACGUGAGCAACCUGCCUUUCAGAGGGGGAUAACGUUUGGAAACGAACGCUAAUACCGCAUAAAAUAUCGGAGUCGCAUGGCACUGAUAUCAAAGGAGCAAUCCGCUGAAAGAUGGGCUCGCGUCCGAUUAGGCAGUUGGCGGGGUAACGGCCCACCAAACCGACAAUCGGUAGCCGGACUGAGAGGUUGAACGGCCACAUUGGGACUGAGACACGGCCCAGACUCCUACGGGAGGCAGCAGUGGGGGAUAUUGCACAAUGGGGGGAAAACCCCUGAUGCAGCGAUGCCGCGUGAAUGAAGACGGCCUUCGGGUGUAAAGUUCUGUCGCAGGGGACGAAAAUGACGGUACCCUGCAAGAAAGCUCCGGCUAACUACGUG